AUCAUUAGGUGUAGUCACUAUUAAAUGCUUGUCCUGACUGCGUCUUAAACCACAACGGUGUUGCACUUCAUACAAUAUUAACUUACUUAGUAAAAAUGAAGCUUUUAUAUAUAUUGUUUUUGUGUUUUCUACUGGUUGCUGCUGAUAAGAAGAACAAAGGUACAAAAAGGCCGCCUUUCAUAGUUCACAACAAUAUUCUACCGCCGAGGCAAUUGGAACAUAUUUACGAACAAGCCAGAGGAAAACCAAAGCCUUGAACAGUCCGUUUAAGAAGAAAAAUAAUAACAGUACAAAUAAAGCGCCACCUUUCAUAUAUCCACAAAUACUCUCAGCGGUUUGACAACUGAAAACGGUUCGGAUAUCAAAAUGUUGAAACUGGGACUAAUUGGAGAUUUUAGAACCGCAAAGUUGAUAAUAUGUAAUU